AGUCAACCUAACUCGUGGACGUGGAUAACCUCGGGAAACUGAGAAUAAACCACGAUAGAUCAUAGUGCCUGGAAUGGCUUAUGGUCCAAACAGUUUACUGCCAUGGGAUGGGACUGCGGCCUAUCAGCUUGUUGGUGAGGUAAUGGCCCACCAAGGCGAUUACAGGUACGGGCUCUGAGAGGAGAAGCCCGGAGAUGGGUACUGAGACACGGACCCAGGCCCUAUGGGGCGCAGCAGGCGAGAAACCUUAGCAAUGUGCGAAAGCACGACUGGGUCAGUCCGAGUGAUUCCUGAUAAAGGAGUCUUUUGCUUGUCCUAAAAGCACAGGUGAAUAAGGGGUGGGCAAGUCUGGUGUCAGCCGCCGCGGUAAUACCAGCACCUCGAGUGGUCAGGACGUUUAUUGGGCCUAAAGCAUCCGUAGCCGGCUCUGCAAGUCUUCGGUUAAAUCCACCUGCUCAACAGAUGGGCCGCUGGAGAUACUACAGAGCUAGGGAGUGGGAGAGGCAGACGGUAUUCAGUGGGUAGGGGUAAAAUCCUCUGAUCCAUUGAGGACCACCAGUGGCGAAGGCGGUCUGCCAGAACGCGUUCGACGGUGAGGGAUGAAAGCUGGGGGAGCAAACCGGAUUAGAUACCCGGGUAGUCCCAGCUGUAAACGAUGCAAACUCGGUGAUGCAUUGGC
rnacentral:rRNA from 1 species